AAGCAGCAGUGUUAAACAGCCUCCUUAUUAGAGACGUAAAUGUAUUUAAUAGUGGAGUGAUUGUGUGCCACGAGCUAUAAAAUUCACAUAACUGGAAUAUUGUGCCUUGUGGGUUGUUUCAUCCCGAAAUAUUUACUUAUCUAUUUAUUUCAUAAUAUAUAGGGGGGGAAAAAGUUUUGAGGGCCUAGGAUGAAGGGUCUGUGUCAUGUGUCCUCCUUAAUGCGUUCUGGUUCAGAGUUGCUCUCUGAAGUAGGAGGAGGACCCAUAAUUUGAGAUCACGGAGCCUAUAAUAGGAGUAGGGUUAUGGCAACUGCUACCGCCUCUCAGCACUGCUCCGAUAAAGGAGGAGGUAUAGGUGAGUACAGUUUUGUUCAUUUGUGUGUGUUUUUUAAUGCGAAAAGGUAUUUGAACUACGCAAAUGUUCGCAAUAUUCUGGGUUUAAUCUUCAUUUAUAUUUUAAUUAUUCUGAUAUUAUCUGACUGUGUCUCUUCCUAUUCGCUAUCACUUCUUCUUCCUCUUUCCCCCCUGAGUGAACUGCCUCCGUUUUGACGCAUGGAAACGUUUUUAAGUGGCAAAGAAGAAUUGAAUGAAAGAUGAUGCAUGCCACUUAAAAUGCCUGAGGGAGCAAGCGUAAUCUAAAUUGGAUAUAGAAGCUAUUAUUACACAACAUUAUGCGUUGUGGCGGACUAAUUGCGUGGCUGGGUGCGUUAAACAGUCAGUUAAUGUCGAGUGGCAGACAGGUUUCUGGAGCGCACAAGGUCAGCUGUACUGCUCCCAAGCCUUUAGUGGUAUACAGAAAAAUGCUUGAAGUAUUCAUGGGAUUUUUAACCAUUCUAAAUCUGUGUCCUAAACCGAUUAGUUGACACCAAUUUUUCUUUGAUGUAUUAGCUGAGGGCUUUUGCCACUUGGAAGCCAAUUGAAAUUCAAAACAGUUUUCGCUCCAAAUGCUGUGGGGAGAUCUGCUGCAAAUAAUGGAUGUAAUUUAUUUUUGACCUUGCUUUUUUUUUUUUCUUUUUUUUUUUUUCAAAAGGGAGGGUUGUUAAAUGAUUAAACAUAUGUGCACUAGCUCUCGACUAAACAACUAGCAUUUGAUUGGCUAUUAUUAGUUUUGCAUUAUAGAGCUGUAAAUUUCCAUAUUUCUUAAAGUGUUAUAUAAGUGAUAAACAUGACUAAAAUUGUUAUUGCUUUUUUUAAUGCCCAAUUCACUCUUAAAAAGUUGCUGUUCUUGGUGUUAUUUUUCCUAAAUGAAUUAAAAAAAUAAUAAUUGACUCUUUGUUUUUGUUUUUGAAUCCCAGAUCCAAGUUGAUGAAGUCACCAAGCAGUCAGUGAAAUGCACCCUAACCUUCAAACACACAAGCACACUUGCAAAUACACCUUAAGUUAAAUAACCUUUUUCACAUUUUGAAACGAUAAUUAAAAAACACAGGUGGAUAUAUACUCAAAAUACUGUAAUAAUUUAUCAGUUUUUUAACUCUCUUAUAGUUUUUAAAUAUGCUGCAUUGCUGCUAUUCCCGGGUUUUUUAUUCGAGAUAGAAUCCCUUAAUGUUUUACUUAGUAUCACCACUUUUCCUCACACAAACUGAUGCCCAUGAUUCGAUGGGUUGAUUUGACUUUAAUAAUCAUACAAUUUACAUGAAGCACAAUAAUAUGGCUUUCAGGGGAGAGAAUCUAUUUUUUGAUCUCCUUUCUGUUCUUGUGAUCUCUUUUUCUUUUAUUGACCUGAAUGAAGAUGUAUGGAGUGAGAGUGUGUGUGUGUCUUCGGUUUCCUCCUGAUGGGGUAUAUCAGCUCCCCCCACUUCUCCCUACUCCCCACGAUCCCCGCAAGGCUGAAUGGCAGGCCUCUGGAUUGGCUAAGUGAUGAAAUGAUGACCCUAUUAUGGGAAGCGAUUCCAAAAUGAGAGAUAUCAGACGAAGAUUACACCCCUCUCUCACUGCCACGCCAUCCUCCUGCAAUACACUGCCAGCUGCGCAGAUGAUGAUUGAUUCGCUUGAGAUGGAUCACAGGAAGCACCCAUUGAUUUUUCUGUGUUUUAUCAAAAAUAUUUAUUUACAGUUGUAUCCAUAGGGUGUAUCCAGACUCAACCCAUACUUCGUUCUCCAAAUGGGGGUUGGUAUAAAAGAGAUAAUUCCCCCUGUUCCAUGACAAGACGAAUGACCUGAAGUAUUACUUCAGAAAUGAGUCAAUAGGCUCAGUGAGUAAAUGAAUAUUGAUUGGAUAUAAUGAAGCCUGAGUGUGAAUAUGAGCCCUGUUGCAGACUUCACUGCAGUGAUGCUGAACCUCUCCAACUGAAUAUUUUGCAGACCUGCAUGCACAGCUGGGACUAAAUACACCUCAUUCAGAUGGUGAAUCAACACACUCAACAUUCAACUUUUCCUGUGUAUUUUGAUUCAUGAUCUGAGAGUGUCCAUACUUGACUCGCUUCUUAUCAGAUCUAUGGCUAAAUAGCAUGUUUAUGGUGAAGGUACUAUAGGUGCCAUAUGGCAAUAAUCCAAGACUCAUGUUACUUAAAAGCUCUGGAGACAUGUAGGAGGCAUUUCUGUGUCACCUUUACAAAGGUAAACUGAUACGACAUACAAAUCAAAUGACAACUAGAAUGCUAAAACCACAGUGUGGGAGCUGUGCCCUAGAUAUUUGCACUGACUUAAUCCAAUUGAAAUAGUAUGAGUGAGUUGCAGGGGCUCCCAGGUCUGUUGCUUGCUUAUGUAUGUGAUGCAUAAUAGAAGUUGACGAGGUUGGUGAUAGAUCACAGCCCAGGUAAUGUAAACACAUUAAUCCCUCAGGGUUCAUGUGCAUGUUCUUUCUCUCCUUUUCUCUUAUAUCAGUUCCUCUCUCUCUAUCUGUCUUUCUCUUUCUCUCUCUUCAAGCCCCCAUCCUCCCCUCUCCACGUUCAUCAUCUUCCCUAAACGCGUUAGUGGAGCACAAACCAGAAGCAGCCUUAAUCUGUCAACAUGCCCUUUAAUUGGAGGGAGAAAACAACACGUGCUUCUGGUUAUGCCAUUCCUAAGUGCACAUGCCAAAGAAACACAGAGUUCAUGGAAGAAGUGAUCCCGGGAGAGCAGGGCAUAAUUAAAAGUAUCUUUUAAUAGGCUUGUAAUGCUGAGCCAGACUCUUGUUGCUUUAAGUAGAGGGCGAACUCUGUGGCUGGAGACGGACAUGCAAGGGGCUUCUGCUGAGGGAGCCUGUAAACGAUACAUUGCCUCGUCGUCAUCAGACAUGCAGUCUCUGCCUCAGUCACCACACUCGAGAUGACAGCCACUUUCCACCCCUGCCGCGGACACCUUGGCUUACCCGUUGCCGUGUUCUUUUGUUCUCAGAAUGAGAGAUUCUCCUCCACGACAUCACCUCUCCUCAUCUCCUUCCCAGCCACUUUGGCAAGUUGUGUUCUACCUCCUACUCACAGCACCAGCGGGGAGUGAGAACUGGGACUAAGAGGUUGAUUUGGGGCCUGCUACACUGUAAUCAAAUGAGACUGCUUAGGGGAGAGGAGAAGGAGGAGGUGGAGUAUUAUGUUCUGUCAUGCAUUCCACUGCAGCAUUGUUGCUUUUUUGUUUUUGUCAGGGCAGGCUUUGAUGCUGUAUCCUCUUACCUUUGUAGUCCCGGUAGCCAUGUUUCAUAAACACGGAAUGGGAAACAUCCUCAGCAUUAGAAAUUUAGAUUGUUGCUUUCCUCCUGCCACUCUGCAUUCCGCACGUGCCCGGUCGCAUUCUCCAUCUCCCAAUGCUGAGGUAUUAAGUUUCCUCUCCCAUGCCUCUGAUACAUUUAAACAUCUUACAAUCAGUCCCUUUUAUUCGGUGUGUCAUGUAUAAUCUGCGGAAACAACAAUGCCAACAUGGCUCUAUGUUGCUCUCGCUCUCUUGGUACUUAAGAAGUCUGCUGUCACUGUUUUGUUUCAGGACAAUUGCACUUGCAAAAUGCUUACUUGCUUUAAAUUGAGAAGUUGCUAGGUAUUCAAUUUAGAACUUGUCUUCAUUAUUAAGAAUGUAAUAUUAAUGUCAAGCUAUCUUUCUUUGUAUUUUCACAAAGGGAAUAGGCAGUGCAUGGUUGUCUUUGUAGUUAACCGAAAGUCUCAGUGGGAUAACAGUGUAUUAUAAUCCUUAAUCUAUCUUAACUCAUUAAAAUGCAGUGUUCAGUUCUGCUGGCCAAAUUUUAUUGUCUCGUUGCAUUUUUAGUGAUAUGAGAGAAAUUUCAUGCGUAAUUGAAUAUUUAAAUGUCAGACACUGACGAGAAUCAUUGCAAAGUCCUGAAAUUACUGCCACAUAUAGGUAUAUAAUAUACUUAAGAAAAAAAGUUAGAUAAGAUGCAAAUCAGCAGAAUCGUCCUCUGUAACACACUGUGCCUCAGUUCUCUCUUUUCUUCUACCUCUUCUUCUUCUUGGAAAGUAACCAUUUUGUCCGACAUCUGACACACUGCCCUGGGUUAUUGAGCCAGACGUGGAAAUCCAAAGCGGAGAUGCUCUCCUUAAUGCCUGACACCUGGUGCAGAUUUGGAAGGGAUUGCACUACAGGUACUGUCUUACCUCUUCACCAAUCCCAGAAAGUCCCUUAGGUAUUUCCUUUUCUUUCCACGGCUGUGUUUGUUUCUACUCUUCUUUGCCACCCAGGUAUCAAGCCUCUGUUAGCUGGCCCCUGUGUUGGGAUUAAGUUCAGAAGGUGUUGAAAAAGGAUACCUAUCAUCCCUUUGAUAAAUAUGAUUCUGAUUUGUUCAGGUAUUUUUAAGGCCUCAAAAAAUAUAAGAAGGAUUAAAAACCUUUCUAAGUAUACGUUACAUUUUCAGUGGGAUAAAAUGAAAGAAAGAUUUCCUGUCCAGGAGCCAGAGCUUUUUUUUUCUACUUUAAAAAUAAAGUAAAUGAUAGCAAUUGAAGAAAGGGUGCAAUGCUGUCACUGAUAAGUUAAAUCUGACAGUUCUUUCAUUUGACAAAAAAUGAGUUCAGUUUUCUGGAAUGAUUACUGAAACAUGUCUGAUGUUAAUAUUAUUAAACUGCUAAUUCCACUUCUGAUCCUGUUAUUUGUUCUUCUCUUGCCACACCCUCUGUCAGGGUAUGCUUUACAAGUGGACGCUACUCUGGAGUGUUGCAGCUCACCUUACCGCUUGCAGUCACAUCUGCAAACUGUGCUGGAGCAGAAUGGCUAGCGAACAUAAACACAGCAAGGACAUCAAAGGCCGGCAGGUUGGGCUAUACCACCUGAGCAUGCUGAUUGCAGUGCAGUUCAGUAUCAUCUGACUGGUGAAAACAGAGGAUUUUGUUGCACCAAGUUGAGACAUUUAACAGAAGGUUCCAACCAGAAUUUUUUGUUUAUUUGUUUAAAAAAAUAAAAAUAAAUGAAUAAAUAAAAGCUCAAAACACAAGCCUUUUGGCCUAUGAAUGGCAAAUUAUAAUUCAGUCCUGGAUAACUCAGGCAACACAGAUAAACUGUGAGCUGUACGCCACAAUAAUGUAACAGUCUUUCCUGGAUAAUAAUAUAAUAAGCAAGAUAAGCAAGUGCACACUUGGUGAGCUUCAUACUGUUUAUGUUGACACAUGCAACUCUCUUCCUGAUGCAAAUGCAAUCUAAACAUUAAGCAAAGGGAAGGCAAGCGUAGCCCAUAAAGGCUGUGAGCUCCAAACACUUUGAACAGACAACUAUCACUAAUCACUCCCAGAGCAGUGCGGCGUGUAAUUACUCUGCCAAACGUUUGCCUUUCACAGCUUAGCACUAGGAGCCCUGACCCUGCGCUUCCCUGUCUUUCCUCACCACCGUGCAUGUGGAAGGGGAGGACCCCCACCACCCCCCGCCUGCUCCUCUUUCCCCUUUCUCUUUAGCAAGGGGAAAGGCAAGCUGAGCUCCCUCUCAGUAUUUAGAAAAAGACGGGGGGGAGAGAGGGGGAAAAAGAGAGGGAGAAAGACAGGAAGGGAGAAGACUGAGGUUGGUGCUUCCGGCUUUGUGGGAGCCCAUUUAAACAGGCUUUGAAACCCUAGCCAUCCGGAGAUCAGAAAUAGCCUUAUUGACUGCAUGGGCCCAGAAGUGACUGAGCACACAGGGUUCUUAAGAGUUCACUCUUCCUCGCUGCUUGGAACAGGGGGGUGGGCACCACAUGCUGAGGUCCUCUACAAAGAUUUUGGACAUAAAUUUUACAUCAGGGGAAAAUAUUAUUUUUACAGCUAUUUUUAGUGUUGCAUGGUUGUAUCUCAAUUUUUGUGCUGUUGUAGGAUUUGUGUGUGUGUGUGGUUUAUUUUAGUUAUUUUUUAUUUUAUUGUUUGGAGUGACAGACAUCUAAUUCUACUUUUUCCCCACAGUCUUAUUUAUUGAUAUUAGUAAUGCAGCUGUCAUUCUGCAAUGAGAUCUGUCCUGUGUCUGGGUGAAUGCUGAUAAGAUGACACAAUGCAAAUAUGAAGUGUGAUGGAGCCGCCUUGGCAAGCAGGCUGCGUCCAGUUCUGUCACUGGUCCUUAGUGCUCCAGCAGCCUGGUCAAAAAGACAUCCUGGCAGGGUCCCAGGGUGGAUGCAUCGCCCACGCACGCUGCUCUUGCCAGAUCCCAGAAGUCUUUGUGGUGAACCACUGACCGUGCUGCUCCCUAUUUUCUUCCAACCCAGCAAAUAAUGUGUCAGAAAAAGAUUAUUGAUAGCCCAUAAAAGAAGAGGCAGAAUGUUGUUGCCACUCUGCUCCAACUUUAAGGAACAAUACAAGUGCUAAACCAUCAGUUUCAAUGGUGCACUGCUCCUGAAAGAGCACAGCAUUUAUUUUUCACAUUGUUGUUCAGUUUGAAUAAAAGGUGCUACAACUGGAA